UACGUAGGGUGCGAGCGUUAAUCGGAAUUACUGGGCGUAAAGCGUGCGCAGGCGGUUUGUUAAGACAGAUGUGAAAUCCCCGGGCUUAACCUGGGAACGGCAUUUGUGACUGGCAAGCUAGAGUAUGGCAGAGGGGGGUGGAAUUCCACGUGUAGCAGUGAAAUGCGUAGAGAUGUGGAGGAACACCGAUGGCGAAGGCAGCCCCCUGGGCCAAUACUGACGCUCAUGCACGAAAGCGUGGGGAGCAAACAGG
rnacentral:rRNA from 1 species